UUGUCUGCUGGCAGCAGUCACCAGCCCAGCCAGUGCUGUGCCAUCCCCACCCACACUGUGCCCAUCAGCGACAUGUGCAGCUACCUCAUGGCUAUUGCACCAUGCCCGGAGGAUGCUCUUCACCACACCCCAGGGAUCUUGAAUCAUUUAUGAUCAAAAGUUUCUGUUGGAUCAUUGCAGUUCUCCCAUGGCUCACACACAGCCCUGCCAUCUGCCCGAUAUCCCAGGAGUCACUAGCCCUGGCACUUCAAUAGAAGACUCCUAAGUAGAAGUAAACAACUUGAACAAUCAUGACAGGGAACACGCAGUUUAGGAUGAUGCUCAGUUUGAGACGGACAUCUGA
rnacentral:lncRNA from 1 species